CUAGUUUGACACUUAUAGCUAAGCCUCAGUGUUUUUAGAAACUGGCCUGACACUCAUAGCUAGGCCAUGUUGUUCUCCUGAUGAACAGCAUCUCACAGAACAGCAAUAUCAGACAGGGUCACUCUGUGACCAUGAUGAAGUGAGACAAAACAAGAUCACUUCCAUGUUUUGUCUAAGCACAGACAAUAACAAGGUCAGUAUGCAAAUCAGAAAAUAUCAAUGUUAAAUAAAUUCAUGGGAAAUGAUUAUAGACUAACCUUAGUUUUGGACUAAUCUGCUGCACUAGGCUCCGGCAGACCAGACCAAAGCAGAAUGGUCCCUCAUGCGUAUUGCCACAUAAUCAAAAGCAACUCUGAAACCAGCCAGUUUUCCAAAAAGCAGGAAAUUCAUAGCACCCAAUCAGAAGGGGCCAAGUUUAUCUGAGCUGGUAUGCUAAGAAAGUU
rnacentral:lncRNA from 1 species